rnacentral:rRNA from 1 species
AUUGAACGCUGGCGGCAUGCCUUACACAUGCAAGUCGAACGGCAGCACGGGAGCUUGCUCCUGGUGGCGAGUGGCGAACGGGUGAGUAAAGCAUCGGAACGUGCCCUGAAGUGGGGGAUAACGUAGCGAAAGUUACGCUAAUACCGCAUAUUCUGUGAGCAGGAAAGCAGGGGAGUCUUCGGACCUUGUGCUUUAGGAGCGGCCGAUGUCGGAUUAGCUAGUUGGUGAGGUAAAGGCUCACCAAGGCGAUGAUCCGUAGCGGGUCUGAGAGGAUGAUCCGCCACACUGGGACUGAGACACGGCCCAGACUCCUACGGGAGGCAGCAGUGGGGAAUUUUGGACAAUGGGCGCAAAACCUGAUCCAGCCAUGCCGCGUGCGGGACGAAGGCCUUCGGGUUGUAAACCGCUUUCAGCCGGAAAGAAAUACGCCAAGGCUAAUAUCCUUGGUGGAUGACGGUACCGGAAGAAGAAGCACCGGCUAACUACGUGCCAGCA